UCACAUGCUCCCCCGUCCCCUAAAGACUGGCUCACUGGUAUUCUCUUGUAUUCAGGGACACCUUCAUGGAAGUGUUAUGGGCACUGUUAGGCUCCAAAGCUCUAAAUUGGCUUAGUGAAAAGUGUUCACCUGGGUCAGCAGAAUGAUCAGGACCAUGGGGCUCCCAGUGGCCCUGAGUCAGCUCCCAUAUAUACCCCCACAGCAGCAGAUGACCUGUGCUUCUUUCCCCUAAAUACUUCAGUGCCUGUUUCCCAAGGAUAAAAUACUUUCUUACAUACCCACAGUACAGUUAGCAAGAUCAGGAAAGUUUACAUUACAUGGAUUUAAUUCUCAUCAUAUCUACCAUUCACAUUCAAAUUUCAGUCAUCCCAAUAAUGUCCUUUAUAGGUAUUUUCUACAGCUAUAGCAUGAGCCACCACACCCAACCACUGAGAAGGCCUGGGGGCAAUGGCACAGGUCCAGGACUGAGCAACAAGCCUCUCAUCUCUCCUGGGCAACUCGUCCAGAACCAACUUCUCCAAGAAGCCUUCUCAUAUAGCACACCCCACCCUGUUAGAAUCCUCUGCCCAAAUUGCUAUCACUGGUGGAUUUAUUAUAUUCUGUAAUACACUUUGGCUACAGAAGCCCUUUGAACUCUUUGUCUUCCUUUUCUAUUCCCAGCAUCUAGCGUAGCACAUGGCACACAGUAGUUGUUAAGAAUUUAUUUAAGGAAUGUUGGGUUGGCUAAGUUUUCUUUCUUCUUUGGUAUUAUCAUUUUUUUCCUUUAAGGGCUCUCCCUCCUGCUGCCAGAGUGUCACCCUAAGCUUAUUUCUCUGUUCACCUUGAUUUCUCUUUAUACUCUUCUGAGUAGUGUUCCCAUUCCUAGGCCUUGUAUCUCCACUCUACUGACUCCAAAUUCUUACCUCUGAAAAGAAUUUAGAUAAGAGGUCUGACCUCCCAUUUAAAUUUCAUUCUAGUACUUCUAUUACCCAAGGUGUCACGUUUAUGUAUAAAGUACAUUGGCAUUGCAAACUCAAUUUACAUAAAUCCAAAUUCCUUAUCUUUCUCUCAAAAUUCUCUCCUCUCACAAUCUUUAUCCCUGUAGAGAAUUCUGUUAUGCUUCCUGCCAGUCAGGCCUAGAGUAAGUCUGCCAAUGUCUUAUUUUACUUUUAAGUGGUAUACCACGUUAUGGUACAGAAAAAGUAAGAUACAAAAGCAUGUGAGCUCUUUGAUCUCGAUUACGCGCAUGUAUAUUGUAUGUGUGUACUAAAAAGAAUGGAAGAAAUUACUUUUUUUUUUUGAGACAGAAUCUUGCCCCGUCACCCCAGGUAGAGUACAGUGGCAUCAUCAUAGCUCACUGCAAUAUCAAAUACUCAGGCUCAAGGGAUCCUUCUGCCUCAGCCUCCCAGAAUGCUAAGAUUAUAGGCAUGAGCCACUGGGCCAGGCCAGAAAUAUACCAAUUUUCAAGGUGUAGGCUGUGGAAUUAUAAAUAUUUCAAGAUUUUUUCCCCCUGAUACCAUGUAGCAUUUUACAAAUUUCCAUCAGUAAACACACAUUACUUUUAUUGGAAAAAAAAAAAACAUUUUUAACAUGCCCUUCUAGAUGCCCACUGCUGCCCUCAUAGCCCAGACUGAAUCAGUUCCCAUCUAAAUUUUCUUAAUUUUUCUACUUUCAGUCCCUGGCUCAUUCAUUAACAUUGAUUUCCAUCCAUAAGUCCAUCCAAGUUUUUCUUUCUGCCCAACUGCCUGACUCGCUGUCCCCUUCAAGGCCUUUUGUGCCCAGUACUCUCAUAUAUUUGGCUCGACUGCUGGAGACUGUUCCCAGAGCCAGUCUCUUCUCCCCAUUAGAAACAUCAGGCAUGUACCUGUUCCUGAGUCUUGCCUGCACCCUUCCUGCCUCACACAGAGAAGCAAGCAUCCUAUGUGUAUUAUAAUAAACAACUAAAACCUUGCCUCCUCCAGCCACCUUCCCUACUUAAUCUGCUCUCAAAACCCUGGCCGUGAGUUUAUACAGCAUUUACAGUGUGUUUCACAAAAUAUAAAAUGUUAUUACCCCUUCCCUGAAUUUUUGCUUUUGGUAUAUGUGUGGUUUUCCCUCUAAUAAGAUUAUGUUUUACAAGGGCAGAGAAUAUAGUAUUGUUCAAUGGAUGCUUAAAGUACUAAAUAGAAUGGAAUAGGUUUGGAAGGAAGGAUGACGAAGUCUAUUUGGAAGGUAUAAGUUUGAGAAACACAAGUUAAAAGGAAAGAGAAAUGUUAGAAGGUGAUCAAAAAUGUGUAUGUUACUUGGUGGGGGAGGAGCAAGCAAUUUAUUUUUUUUUAUUUUUUAUUUAUUUUUACUUUUUUUUUCCUGCAGUUUUGGCUGGGGUUGGGCUUGAACCCGCUGCCCUUGGUAUAUGGGGCCGGUGCCCUACUCCUUGAGCCACAGGCACCGCCCUACUUAUUUAUUUAUUUUUAUUUUUUAGCUUUUGGAUUUGAUCUUUGACCUGUCAUCUUUUCUUUCUUUUUUUUUUUUUUUUUAUCAUUGGGGAUUCAUUGAGGGUACAAGAAAUCAGGUUACACUGAUUGCAUUUGUUAGGUAAAGCCCCUCUUACAAUUGUGUCUUGCCCCCAAAAGGUGUGGCACACACCAAAGUCCCACCCACCUCCCUCCUUCUCUCUCUCUGCUCUUCCUUUCCCCACCCCUCCCUCCUUCUUUCUCUUUCUGCUCUCCCAUUCCCCCACCUCUACUGUGUCCUUAAUUGUCCUCAUACCAAAAUUGAGAACAUAGGAUUCAUGCUUCUCCAUUCUUGUGAAGCUUUACUAAGAAUAAUGUGUUCCACUUCCAUCCAGGUUAAUAUAAAGGAUGUAAAGUCUCCAUUUUUUUAAUGGCUGAAUAGUAUUCCAUGGUAUACAUAUACCACAGCUUGUUAAUCUAUUCCUGGAUUGGUGGGCAUUUAGGCUGUUUCCACAUUUUGACAAUUGUAAAUUGAACUGCAAUAAACAGUCUAGUGCAAGUGUCCUUAUGAUAAAACGAUUUUUUUCCUUCUGGGUAGAUGCCCAGUAAUGGGAUUGCAGGAUCAAAUGGGAGGUCUAGCUUGAGUUCUUUGAUGUUUCUCAAUACUUCCUUCCAAAAAGGUUGUAUUAGUUUCCCAUUAGCAGUGUAAGAGUGUUCCCUUCUCUCCACAUCCACACCAGCAUCUGCAGUUUUGAGAUUUUGUGAUGUGGGCCAUUCUCACUGGGGUUAGAUGGUAGGUAUCUCAGGGUGGUUUUGAUUUGCAUUUCGCUAAUAAAUAGGGACCAUGAGCAUUUUUUCAUACGCUUGUUAGCCAUUUGUCUGUCUUCUUUAGAGAAGGUUCUAUUCAUGUCUCUUGCCCAUUGAUAUAUGGGAUUGUUGGCUUUUUUCAUGUGGAUUGAUUUCAAGUUCUCUAUAGAUUCUGGUUAUCAAGCUUUUGUCUGAUUCAAAAUAUGCAAAUACCCUUUCCCAUUGUGUAGGUUGUCUAUUUGCUUUGGUUGUUGUGUCCUUAGCUGUACAGAAGCUUUUCAGUUUAAUUAAGUCUCAUUUGUUUAUUCUUGUUGUUGCGAUUGCCAUGGCAGUCUUCUUCAUGAAGUCUUUCCCCAGGCCAAUAUCUUCCAGUGAUUUUCCUAAGCUUUCUUUGAGGAUUUUUGUUUCAUGCCUUAAAUUUAAGUUCUUUAUCCAUCUUGAAUCAAUUUUUGUGAGUGGGGAAAGGUGUGGGUCCAGUUUCAGUCUUCUACAUGUGGAUAUCCAGUUCUCCCAACACCAUUUAAUGACUAGGGAGUCUUUCCCCCAAGGUAUGUUCUUGUUUGGUUUAUCAAAGAUUAGGUGGUUGUAAGAUGUUAGUUUCAUUUCCUGGUUUUCUAUUUGAUUCCAAAUGUCUAUGUCUCUAUUUUUGUGCCAGUACCAUUCUGUCAUGACCACUAUGGCUUUGUAGUUCAGCUUAAAAUCUGGUAUGCUGAUGCUCCCAGCUUUAUUUUUAUUACUAAGAACUGCCUUAGCUAUAUGGGUUUUUUUCUGGUUCCAUACAAAACGCAGAAUCAUUUUAUUCCAAAUCUUGAAAGUAUGAUAUUGGUAUUUUAAUAGGAAUGGCAUUGAAUAGGUAGAUUGCUUUGGGAAGUAUAGACAUUUUAACAAUGUUGAUCCUUCCCAACCAUGAGCAUGGUGUGUUCUUCUAUUUGUUAAUAUCCUCUAUUUCCUUUCUGAGGAUUUCCUAAUUUUCUUUAUAGAGGUCCUUCAACUCCUUUGUUAGGUAUAUUCCUAGGCAUUUCAUUUUCACUGAAGCUAUGGUGAAGGGAGUUGUGUCCUUAAUUAGCCUUUCAUCUUGACUGUUAUUGGCGUAUAUAAAGGCAACUGAUUUGUGGACAUUGAUUUUAUAUCCUGAGACAUUACUGUAUUUUUUGAUGACUUCCAGGAGUCUUGUGGUUGAGUCUUUGGGGUUCUCUAAGUAUAAGAUCAUGUCAUCAGCAAAGAGGGAGAAUUUGACCUCCUGUGCUCCCAUUUGGAUUCCCUUUAUUUCCUUGUCUUGCCUAAUUGUAUUGGCUAGAACUUCCAGCACUAUGUUGAAAAGUAAUGGUGACAGAGGACAACCUUGUCUGGUUCCAGUUCUAAGAGGAAAAACUUUCAGUUUUACUCCAUUCAAUAAAAUAUUAGUUGUGGGUUCAUCAUAGAUAGCUUCAAUCAGUUUCAGAAAUGUGCCACCUAUGCCUAUACUCUUCAGUGUUCUAAUUAAAAAAGGAUGCUGGAUUUUAUCGAAUGCUUUUUCUGCAUCUAUUGAGAGGAUCAUAUGGUCUUUAUUUUUGCUUCUGUUAAUACGGUGGAUAAUGUUUAUGGACUUGUGUAUGUUAAACCAGCCUUGCAUCCCUGGGGUGAAACCUACUUGAUCAUGAUGUAUGACUUUUUUGAUGAUAAGCUGUAAUCUAUUGGCUAGGAUAUUGUUGAGAAUUUUACAUCUAUAUUCAUUAAUGAAAUUGGUCUAAAAUUCUCCUAUUUAGUUGGGUUUUUUCCUGGUUUUGGUAUCAGGGUGAUGUUUGCUUCAUAGAACGUGUUGAGGAAGAUUCCUUCCUCCUCAAUUGUUUGGAAUAAUUUCUGCAGUACAUGAAUCAGCUCUUCCUUGAAGGUUUGAUAGAAUUCUGGUGUGAAGCCAUCUGGACCAGGGCAUUUUUUUGUUGGAAGGUUUUUUAUUGUUUCUUUAAUCUCAGUGCUUGAAAUUGGUCUGUUCAGGAGCUCUAUUUCUUCCUGGGUAAGUCUAGGGAGAGGGUGUGAUUCCAAAUAUUGAUCCAUUUCCUUCACAUCGUCAAAUUUCUGGGCAUAAUCUGGUAGUAUUCAGAGAUAAUCUUUUAUAUAUCUGUGGCAUCAGUUGUUAUUUCCUCUCCAUCAUUUCUGUUUGAGGUUACUAGAGAUUUUACUUUUCUAGUUCUAGUUAGUGUGGCCAAAGGUUUAUCUAUUUUAUUUAUUUUUGGGGGCGGCACCUGUGGCUCAAGGAGUAGGGCACAUGUCCCAUAUGCCAGAGGUGGUGGGUUCAAACCUAGCCCCGGCCAAAAACAAACAAAAAAAAGAAAUAUUUAUUUUUUCAAAAAAUCAACUCCUUGUUUCAUUAAUUUUCUGAAUGAUUCUUUUGUUUUCAAUUUCAUUGAUCUCUGAUUUAAUUUUGGAUAUUUCUUUCCUUCUACAUGGUUUAGGCUUAUAUUGUUCUUCUUUUACCAAUUCCAUAAGAUGGCUUGUGAGUUUGUUGAUGCACUCUCUUUCUGUUUUUUGAAUGUAGGGAUGUAAAGUGAUAAAUUUUCCUCUCAAAACUGCUUUUGCAGUAUCCCAUAGGUUUUGGUAGCUUGUGUCGUCAUUGUUGUUAUGCUCAAGGAAGUUAAUGAUUUCCUGUUGUAUUUCUUCCUGCACCCAUCUGUCAUUCAAGAGAAGGUUGUUUAAUUUCCAUGCCUUUGUGUGGGGUUGAAUGUUUUUGUUGGAGUUGAGUCCCACCUUUAGUGCCUUGUGGUCUGAGAAGAUAUAAGGUAAAAUUUCAAUUCUUUUGAUUCUGUUGAGGCUUGUUUUGUGUCCUAGGAUGUGAUCAAUUUUGGAGAAUGUUUCAUGGGGUGAUGAAAAGAAUGUAUAUUCUUUAUCUUUGGGAUGGAGUGUUCUAUAUACAUCUAUUGAGCACAAUUGUUCUAGGGUCUCAUUUAAGUCCCUUAUAUGUUUGUUUAAUUUCUGUUUAGAGGAUACGUCCAGCUCUGUAAGAGGAAUGUUAAAGUCCCCUGUUAUUAUGAUAUUAUAGGAUAUCAUAUUGCUCAGACUGAGUAAGGUCUGUUUCAAAAAUCUGCAUUUAAAUGGGGUGCAUAAAUAUUCAGAAUUGAAAUGUAUUCUUGUUGUAUUUUUCCUUUGACCAAUAUAAAGUGACCAUUUUUGUCUUUUUUGACUUUAGUUGCUUUAAAUCCACAUGUAUCUGAAAAUAAGAUUGCAACUCCUCUUGUCUUCUGAAUUUUGUUUGCCUGAAAAAUUGUCUUCCAACCCUUAGCAAGGAGUUUUAAUUUCUUUUGAAGCUAGGUGUGUUUCCUGCAGACAGCAAAUAGAAGGCUUGUGUUUUUUAAUCCAGUCAGCCAAUCUAUACCUCUUCAAUGGGGAAUUCAAGCCAUUAACAUUUAUUGAGAUAAUUGAUAAAUAUGGCAGUGUUCUAUUCAUCUUAUUUUGUGAGAGUCCAUUGCUUAGUUUUAUCUUUUGCAUCAGUGUGGAAGCUAGGUUCUGUCUUUUAAUUUCUGAGUUCUUACUUUGCUCUUGAUCCAUUGUGAUGGUCUGUGUGUAGAACAGGUUGAAGUAUUUCCUGUAGAGCUGGUCUUGUGGUGGCAAAUUUCCUCAAUGUUUGUAUAUUAGUAAAUGAUUUGAUUGCUCCAUCAAUUUUAAAGCUUAACUUAGCAGGAUAUAGAAUUCUGGGCUGGAAAUUGUUCUGUUUUAAGUACAUUAAAGGUAGAUGACCAUUGUCUUCUUGCUUGGAAAGUUUCAUUAGAGAGUCUGCAGUCACCCUGAUGGAUUUGCCCCUGUAGGUCAACUGGUGCUUACUUCUGGCAGCUUAAAGAAUCUAUUCUUUUAUCUUGACUUUGGGCAGGUUCAUCACAAUGUGUCUUGGAGAAGCUUGGUUAGAGUUGAGGUGACCUGGGGUCCAAUAUCCCUCUGAAAGGAGUGUGUCAGAAUCUUUGGUGAUAUUUUGGGAAAUUUUCAUGUAUAAUAUUCUCUAGUAUGGCUUCCAUUCCUCUGGGGCAUUCUUCUUCCCCUUCUGGGAUACCUAUCACUUGUAUAUUUGAAUGCUUCAUAAAGUCCCAUAAUUCUGUCAGUGAACGUUCUGCUUUCUUUCUCUUCUUUCCUGCCUCUUUAACUAUCUGAGUUAUCUCAAGAGCUUUGUCCUCUACCUCUGAGAGUCUUUCUGCAUGGUCUAACCUGUUGCUGAUAUUUUCUAUUGCAUAUUUAAGUUCCGUAAUUGACUACUUCAGUUCCUUCAGCUCCGCUAUAUCCUUUCUAUAGUUUUCAUAUCGUUUAUCUCUUAUUUGAUUGUUUUUGGAUUUCCUUUUGGUUAUUUUCUACUUUAUCAGCAGUUUCCUUCAUUGUUUCCAUCAUUUCCUUCAUUGUUUUCAUCACCUGUAUUCUAAUUCCCUUUCUGUCAUUUCUAACAUUUCUUUAUAGGUGGAAUCCUCUGCAGUAGCUAUCUCAUGGUCCCUUGGGGGGGUUGCUCUGGACUGGUUUUUCAUGUUGCCAGGAUUUUUCUGCUGAUUCUUUCUCAUGAGUGAUUUCUUUUAUCUGUUUCCUUGCCCUAAUUUUCCUUUCACUUGCUGUUGGUCUUUAAGUUGCCGUGCCUCUGGACCAGAAGAAUGAGAAUGUUGAAGAGCAAGAAGGGUAAAAAGAAAGAAAAAAGAAGGAAAAAAGAGAAAGGAGAGGGGGUGGGUAAAAGGGAAUAUUGACAAAAAGAAGAGGGGCACAGAAAGAGAGAGAGCGAGCAAUAUAGGUGUAUAGUAGGGUACUUUCACGCAACCUUAAAAGCCCCCCAAACUCUGAGGAUUCCAGGUUGGGUGGUUCCCUUGAGGUGAGCAGCUCUUUGCUAGCCUGUUUGGACACAGUACCCUGCCUCCACCAAGUAGAGAGGAAAGACAAAAAUGCUAUAAAUCAAACCAAGACAAGCAAACAGAAAACUUCACGGGACAAAAUUGGGGGGAAAAAACAAAUAAUAGGGGUAGAAACACUAGCAAAAAUGAAGUUUUAAUUGUUGAAAAAGGCAUCAAUGGGAAAUUAUAUUUAAACUAGAAAAAUGAAGAAAGAAAAGAAAAGAAAAAUUUAUGGGGAAAAUGUUGAAAUUAAAAAACAAAACAACAACAACAACUAAAAAAAAAAAAAAGAAAACCAAAAACAAAGCAGUAUAUAUCUCUUGCUGAAUAUUGUCUGGGCAAAGGUGAUCUUCUGGGUAUGAGAUGUUAAUCACAAUGCUGAUAUACCUGUACAAGAUGGAGACUGGAGGCCUCUUGAUUUCUCAAACCCCAAAGGGUGGAGAGCCUAAAGUGGAGACCUUAAAUCUCUACUCAGCCCAUGUAAAAGGCACUUUAAACUGCUAAACUUGGCUAAGCAGAAGCUUUCCCAGGAAAGUGCUUGUCGCUGGGAUCACUCCUGAAGUGGCUA